rnacentral:lncRNA from 1 species
GCUUGUGAGUAUUUUUACUCUUGUUUUUUUGUUUUUGUUUUUUUAAUUGGGGAAAACAGUAGUGGGGAUUUCGUUUCUUUCCAUUUGAUUUGUUUUUAAGCAGCAAAACCUGUAAAAACUGAAAUAUUUGUCAUUCACAUGGUCAGUAAAUUCAUUUCCUUGACAAUUAAGUACACAUCCUGUUAUUUCGGUAUGUUCUGUAAUUACGAUCAUUCACGAGGUUCCAAAAACUUGAUUGGAACCCAUGCAUCCAUAAGACAUGUCGAGUUAAU